GGAUGCGAUCAGACCAGCACUAAAUAAGCACCGGAUCCCAUCAAGAACUCAGAAGUUAAGCGUGCUUGGGCGAGAGUAGUACUAGGAUGGGUGACCUCCUGGGAAGUCCUCGUGUUGCAUCCC